AUCGAGCAACACCCAACCGGCAACUGGAGGCCAUCAACAUGUUCAUCGACGAAGUGGUUCUCGCAGGGAUUCUUACAGUAGGCCUCAUGGUCGCUUUCUUCGGUGGGGUCGGUUACUUCAUCUGGAAGGAUUCCCAUAGCCGCAAAGGCUGAUCCUCCCGGAUACACAGAGCACGCAAGGCACUUAGGGCGACUUCGGUCGCCCGUUUUUUUU
rfam:Pseudomonas aeruginosa PAO1, complete genome.